CCGAUUUUUCCCGAUAAGAUUGAAAUUAAAAGUCCUAUUUUAACAUUAGUGCCAUCGCAUCGCGAAUAACCAUGAAUUUUAGCGCUCAGAACUUUUACGCCCCUCUUGAAAGAUUCAGGAAACCUAAACCCUGCAUUCUUUCCCAGCGUUGAACAAGCGUUCUUUCCCAUUACCUAGAACACUACAUUUUUUUUUUUACCUCUUUUAAAAAGACGAAAUCUUCGCCCCCUGAUAAUCGCACAGUGUGACUGAUACUCCUUUUUGUUUCUGCAGGCAAUUCUCAGUCACUAUCAAGCCCGAUUCCGUGUCUGCCUCUCUUUCAAAUUCUCAGCGAACCUGCAGACUGCCCAGUGCGAUGGGAGCUGCAUUCGAGGCAGGUGUCGGGGAUUUGCUUUUAUUCCUGUGUCACCGACACUGAAGUGGAGAAAGGUGACAGGAAGAGAGUGCACAGGCCUGAUGUUUCUAUAGUCGGGAAAUCGGAGAGUCUUCCUUUGGGUCCAGGCGGGUCUUACAAGCUGCAGGUGCCUGAAAUGCCUCAUGGUUGCCUUCUGUGUUCAGUACGGCUGACAGUUUAUGUGCUGGAUGGGCCUGAAUAUAUGGUCCACUGGGAAAUCCACCUGUUGAAGCCUGAAGAGCGAUAGGUGAAGGAACCAAGAUCUCUGAACCCCUGGUUGGAACAGUGUUGCCUGCGAAACACAUCUCUGAAAAUUUUAUCUUGAACAUAGCUUCUGAGACAUCAUUCCAGUCAGUCAUACUAAUGCUGAAGUUGACUCCUCAAGAUAAAACCCAUUACACAUAUCUCACAGUGUUGAAGGAGCCGGGAACUAGGAUUUUGGAGUUCAAGACCAUAGCCCUGACUCACUCUGCUUGUCCAAAUGCCUGAUACAGAGAGCCAGCUACCACUCUGAAGGUAAAUGAGCUUUCCAGAACGCUAUCUUCAGGGCUCCUUGUACAUGCUUUAUGCUUCAGUUGUGGGCAUCUGAAUAAUGAAGACUUGAAGGGGAGACAUGUGAUGUGGUUUCAGAGCAAUGGAAAGGCAGGUUCUUUUCCUGUCGGUGCCAUAAUCCUCCCUCA